GGUAGGGUGGUGCAGUGGUUAGAGCACUGGGCUAGAACCCUGGUGACCAGGGUUCAAAUUAGCCAUAAAGCUCACCGGGUGAGUGACCCUGCCCGAGUCU